CGGAAAGGGAGACGCAGUUUGCCACUCCCAAGAUGGCGGAAGUGAUGACAGUCACGUGACAGAGCACCACAUAUGGCCUGUCGGGGUUGAGCCACACUCAAAAUGGCGGGACCGCGACAGAGGCGUCUCUGACUCUGCCUGAUGUCCCCCGCGCGGCUCCCGACAGCCCCCGUCGCCGCUAACGCCACCACCUGUGUCUCCACACCGGAAACGCUGAGAAAAAUCGCGCUGAAAGCGCUGGGUCGGCGUCGGGCGGUAGGGUGGAUUUCAGGCAGUCGAAAGCCAGGCGCCUUUGUGAGGAGUGGGGGACCUUAACGUGCCACUCCAAAAAUGGCGGCUUACCCGGAAAUGGCUUCCGCCACAAUCAAAGAUGGCGACAAAGGGAGAAAGUAAUGUUUUUAUGCCACACCAAAGAUGGCGGUUGGACAAGCCGCUUAACGGCCUUCCAAAGAUGGCGGCAUCUUGCGCAUGCGCCUUGGGGAUGGGACAAUUGGCCCGGAAGGAACAUGCUCCGUCCUUUCUGCUGCCUGAACGCGACGCCGGCGCCGACCCAGGUCUUUUAGCGCGAUUUUUCAUAACGUUUCCCGACGUGGGUAAACGGGUUGUGGGGUCAGCGGAGCCGGGAGCACCCGGCAGGAUGCAGCUCCUCUUUCCCAGGAGAUUAGAACAGAAAACCACGGAAAAACAACCUGGCUUGAAGGGUUUUUACCAGACUAGAGCUGACUACAGAAAAUUGGAUGGUCAAGUGCUUUGUUGGUCUGGACUUCCAACUCUGAAAGAUUAGAAGCUGAAAACUUCCUGUGUCCUCCAGCAGAGGAUUCAUUUGGAGUUUGGGAAGAGUUCAAUGGAACUUGGAGAUGUGACAGCUUCGGAAGUGUGAGCUCGUGUAAACAAGGAAGCAGAUGGAACCUCUGAACUAAAAGUACUUUCAUGAAGGUUUUGUGCCACAGAGUAACUGGUGAUGGAAAAUGAGUUUUCAGGCAGUUGAAAGGUCCAUCUUUUCUUUGGAAAAAAAAAUAAAAAUAAACUGAGGCAAAGGUGUGGCCUGGUU
rnacentral:lncRNA from 1 species